GGAGUUAGCCGGUGCUUCUUCUGUGAGUGAUGUCCUUCCUGCCGGCUAUUAACCCGCAGGCCUUCUUCCUCACUGAAAGUGCUUUACAACCCGAAGGCCUUCUUCACACACGCGGCAUGGCUGGAUCAGGGUUGCCCCCAUUGUCCAAUAUUCCCCACUGCUGCCUCCCGUAGGAGUCUGGGCCGUGUCUCAGUCCCAGUGUGGCUGAUCAUCCUCUCAGACCAGCUACGGAUCGUCGCCUUGGUGAGCCGUUACCUCGCCAACCAGCUAAUCCGACAUAGGCUCAUCCGAUAGCGCGAGGCCCGAAGGUCCCCCGCUUUCCCCCGUAGGGCGUAUGCGGUAUUAGCCUGGGUUUCCCCAGGUUAUCCCCCACUACCGGGCAGAUUCCUAUGCAUUACUCACCCGUCCGCCGCUCGCCACCAGGGAGCAAGCUCCCCGUGCUGCCGCUCGACUUGCAUGUGUUAGGCCUGCCGCCAGCGUUCAAUCUGAGCCAUGAUCAAACUCUGA
rnacentral:rRNA from 1 species